rnacentral:lncRNA from 1 species
GAAAAGAGACCAAAAAAGAAAAGAAAAGAAAACAAAAGAAAAUUUGUUUUAAUAGAAAAUUUGAUGAGUUCCCCUCGUGGCUCAGUGGUUAGUAAAUCCGACUAGCGGGUUUGAUACCUGGCCUCGCUCAGUGGGUUAAGGAUCCGGGGUUGCAGUGAGCUGUGGUGUAGGUUGCAGACACAGCUGUGAUCCCGCAUGACUGUGGCUGUGGUGUAGGCCAGAGGCUACAGCUCUGAUUGGACCCCUAGCCUGGGAGCCUCCAUAUGGUGCAGGUACGGCCCUAAAAUAGCAAACAAAACAAAACAAAACAAAACGAAUCUCUAGUUGCAUCCAUAUUGCUGCAAAUAGCAUCAUUCUCUUUUAUGUCUGAGUAGUAUUCUGUUGUAUAUAUGUACCACAUCUUAAUCCAUUCAUCUGUUGUUGGAUAUUUAGGUUGCUUCCAUGUUUUGCAUUUGCCAGCUUUAUUGUGUAAAUACUCCCAUUAUGGCCAAUUUCAAACUACUGCUGUGAUGUCCCUGAUGCUGAAUCUGGAAGAGGUACACCUGGUCAGCUCUCCCAAGCUAUGUGUUCAGGUUUCAGCCCAUCACUGCUUAUAAUGCAGCCUUGUUAGGUGUCUGGAGACCUUGAGAAAAUCAGAUAUUAUAUUUCAGAAUGGCUAAGGGAAUAGAUGUACUUAAAGUUAAAUAGUAUUAAAAUGUUUAGAGUUAUCUGAAGUAUGUGAGAUUUGUAAAUUAAUUGAAUAUUAAUUGAGUAACAAUAUUAAAUACAUAUAUUUUUUGUUUUUUAGGGCCACACUGGUGGCAUAUGUAAGUUCCCAAGCUAGGGGUUGAAUAGGAACUGUAGCUGCUGGCUGUGCCACAGCCACAGCAAGGCAGGAUCUGAGCUGCCUCUUUGACCUAUACUGCUGCUCACAGCCGGAUCCCUAAGCCAUUGAGUGAGACCAGGAAUUGAACCCGCAUCCUCAUGGAAACUAGUUGGAUUUGUUUCUGCUAUACUGCAACAGGAACUCCCUAUAUUUUUUAAAUAAAAAGAUUUAUGGGAGUUCUCUUGUGGCACAGCAGGUUAACGAUCUGGCCUUGUCACUGAAGUGGCUU